rnacentral:lncRNA from 1 species
UGUAUAUUUCUCUUCACUUAACUUUCUGACUUAUCUCCCUUCUGAAAGUUGUGAUAUUAUGAAAUUACUGAACUAAAUUGGUUUGCACAAUAUGUCAAUGAUGUCAAUCAUAUAUUUCUUUUUUUUCAUUAAUAAAAGCAUGUUAGGAAAGCCAUUUAUCUCAAACUUUGAAGAGGUCAAUUAAAAUCAAAGUUUGAAUCAAGGUAUUUCACAAUUUUUUUAACUUCAAAUUAACAGACAAACUGUAUCUUUUGAAUUAUACAAUAAAGGAGUACUGGCUAUAUGAUAGAUUGCAUUUUCU